AUGUGGGAUACACUCAUCAGAACUUCACUUAGAGGACAACUCUUCACAAAAGCGCCUCCAGCCCAAACCCAAAUAUCACCAUCAAGUUCUAGCUGCUCAAGUUCAAACUACCAAAGUUGUCAAUUACUGACAAAUCAACAGGGGCUUGUGGACAAAAUAAGUGUGAAAACAUUCAUCUCAGGCAAGCUCUUCCACGUUUAUCGGUUGAAGAAGGGCCCCCCUGAAGAUCUCUCUCAGAAAAUUUCUGAGGCAAUGGAUUAUAAUGAAGACUAUAAUCUCUUAAUGAAUAACUGUUUGCAUUUUGCACUUAAAGUUCUGGGGUUUUCACCAGGGCCCAUGCCAGAAAGCCCACCACAGGAUACAGAUGUGACACAAGACAUCAGUAUGGAUGAAUAUACUAAUUUGGUGAAUUAACAGGAAAGAAAUUUUAAUGAAAAUACUUUUGUUUUGAUUGUUUUGAUCUCAAAAGAUUUUAGAAUGCAAAAAUAGAUUAUAUAGAACAUAUGCUUGAUUUAUAUUAAUUGAAUAAAAAUAUUUAAAUAUAAGAGAUUUAAGAGUGA
ensembl:lncRNA